GAAACUCUUCAAAAAAAAACAUAUUUUAAAUAUAAUGAUAAAUACAAUACAAUGUAUAAUGAAGUAAUAUAUAUAUAUAUAAAGAAAAUAAUAAAGAAAAUAAUUUACUAAAUUAAAUCACUUAAACUUAGCACAAAUAAAUUAAAUAAUUUUAUUCAUUUACAAAAAACUACAAAAUAUUCAAUCAAAACUGUAAAAAUUAAGAAACUAAUAGAAAAAAAAAUAAAACUAAACUAUUUAUGUAAUAGUAAACAAAGACGUAGAUUACAUAUGCAUCAAAGAUAUCUGCUUUACACCUAUGCAACGACCUUAACGAAUUAAAAUAUUUGAAACAGAAUUUUAUAGUUAUAUAUUUAAUUGUUUAUUUAGAAUAUAAACAAUUAGAUUUAUAAUUUCACUAUUUUACUCGGUUCUUAUAAAUUAUUUCUAGCCUAACAUUUACCGUAACGAAAUGCAAUCAUGUUGACCCAAUAUUCAUACAAAUGAUAAUCAAGAGAACCACAAACUUAUUCUUAAGAACUUAAAAUAUAGUAAACCACAGUUAACCAACCAAUUUUGGAUUCAAAAUAAUCAAAAACCAUAAAAGGAGAGCACCACAUACACCUCAUUCACUCAAUAUAAUAAUGUUAUACGUCGUAAUCUAUUAAUAUAGACACAAACAUCAAACUCAAAUAUAACUAAUCUUAACAUAUAUAAUCCUUCAACACCCUAACAUUCUCAAAAACUAUAAACAUUAUUAUAUACUUCUCUUAUCAAAAGUUUACAAAAC
rnacentral:lncRNA from 1 species